UUUGGUCCACUGAACAGUUGGACAGUCAAAGCUGAAUUCAAUAAAACGGCUCUCAUUAUGUUACAACUUUACAAUCAGUGCUGGUUCCAAGUCACUGCGGGACACUGGAUUUCAGUCAGAGACCCAGCGGAACAGAAAUAGCAUAUUCAGGCCGAGUUAUUGAGAAGAGAUCUGGACGUGAAAACUGGAAAGGGAGACCGAGACACCCGGCAUGGGGCCAGCUGGGGAACCAUGAGUGCCCUCGGUGUGGAGUGGCGAGCGCAGAGAGCAGCUAAGGAAGGGAAGCAGGAUGGCCAUAGGGCAGCAGAGCCUCCUGUACAAGAGGUGUGGUCUGCUCAGGACGGAGAGGGCCUGGCCUAACCCCAGGCCUUCUGCAUUCUGAAGAAGCGACAGAGAGCCUGGAGACAAUGCCCCUGUGAGGCCAUCCUUGAAGGUCGUGUCUGCAGGGAAGGAUGGAAAAGAACAAUCCCUGGUGAAAGUUCACGAUGCUCCUCCACCUGCUCUCCAGGGAAGGAAAUGUGCACCUUCGGAGACCAUCAAGAGCAACAGCAAAGGUGUUUGUGCUCUUCCUUGGUUAACUACAACAUCCACUUAAGUAAAUUCCAUUAACAUUCACUGAUAAUCCAUAAUGUUUCCCAUGUCGUUGUUUUUGGUGUUCUCUACUACACAUACUAUGUGCACCUAAGCUCACCCCUUGGCUGGGUAUUUUAUUAUCCAGUUCUUUGCUGGUAAUUGCAGUAGAUACGCUGUCAUUAGACAAAAAGGCAGACUGUUAAUGAUCUCAUUCUAACAUUCUAAUUCAAAUUACUCAGUAUUCGGGCCAUGCCACUGAUUAAUUCUGUCAUCCUACUGCCUAUGCAAUUAAUAAAAUUAUACUGAAUAAAUAUACCAGAUGUUAUGAA